UGUCAGUCCCCUCCGGCUCGCGGGCGCGUCCACGCAGGCCCACGCCGCUCCCGCCCCGCCCCGGGUGGAAGGGUUCUUGCGAAGCGCGGCCCGCUCGGAGGAGCAACAGGAGCCGGCGCCAGGGGCGGGCAGCGCCGCUGCCUGAGCUCCCUCUGCUGCGGGAGGGAAGGGAGCGAGACCAACAAUGACGGCCAGUGCCUCUGUCAACAGUGAACCAGGGACGGGAAUCAGAGGGAGCAGCCCGGCGAGCCGCCGCAGCCCGCGCCCCUCGCAGCGGGGCCGUGCGGGGAGCGCGCAGGAAGGGCUGCGUCGUGGCGCCGCGAGUCUGGUUGUCGCUGUCAUUCAGCGAGAGCCAGGUGGGGCGCCCACCCCAGCCGCAGAUUUGCUGCCCAGAACCCCCUUUUCAAGACCCCGCCAAGUCAGCCCGCUCCGCAGGGUCCCAAUUCAAGACGGAAAACUGCACCUGGAGAUCUAAACCCUAGUUCCGCACAGCUCAGCGAUCGAGCGCCUCCGCUUCCUCCCCUGUGAACUGGCUCCCCUUGAAGGAGGUGAACUAGAUAAUCCUGAGGCCCUCCCAGCGCAAAUCCCAGGUAAUUUCAUUGUUCAAUAUGUGGUCCGGUCUUAAAACCUGAACACCGAAAGUAUACAUGCAUUGAGGAAAGCUGGGCACUGCGUUGGGAGCCACAGACAGCUCCUGAAAUAGUGAGGCUCAGCGGGCGGGGGAGACCCCUAGAUCAUGUGACUUUCCACAGAGACAUCUCCAACUCUGUUCUUCUUUCUCACCAUUGCGGUGGCUCCUAGGGGUGUUCUGUGGUUCCAAAUUGAUUUUAGGAUUCUUUGUUCUAGUUCCGUGAAGAAAAUGCCAUUGGUGUUUUUUUAAAUAUAUUUUUUAUUGAUUUCAGAGAGGAAGGGAGAGGAAGAGACAGAUAGAAACAUCAAUGAUGAGAGAGAAUCAUAGAUCGGCUGCCUCCUGCACGCCCCCCAUUGGGGAUCAAGCCCGCAACCUGGGCAUGUGCCCUUGACUGGAAUCAAACCUGGGACCCUUCAGUCUGCAGGCUGACGCUCUAUCCAAUGAGCCACACCAGCUAGGGCACAUGGUGUUUUGAUAGGGAUUGCGUUGAAUCUAUAGAUUGCUUUGGGCUGUGUGGACAUAAAAUCCAACGUAACAUGACAUUCUUUCUUUACAACCUAAUACCCUUUUCUGCUUCAUCUCCUGAGACAUUCCGUGCACUGCCUUCCCCAUCCAUCCAUCAUGCUAUCACCCCAGUCCUUGCCAACACUGUCCCCCAGCUCAAGAGGGCCAGUCACAAUUAUUCCAGCUCACUGCUUGCUUUUCUGCCCCCAAACUGUUACCCAGAUAAUUUUCUCUCCUUCAAACAUUCUCUCUUUCACUUCUUUACUUACCAGGAUCCUACCUACUGGGCAAAACUAAAUGUAAGUACCACCUACUGAAAGGGAAGCUGUCUUGUCCCUGCUGCCAUGAGCAGUGUUAUGUCUCCACAUCUGUCCUUGGACAUGUCAGAGUCUGACUUUUAUGAUGUCUAAUUGCAUGUGUGCUACCCCAAUAGAAUGGGACUUCCUUGGGGUCGGCCAGGCAUAUUACUCACCCAUAGACACCAGUGUCUUGCUUGGCAACCCACUUAUACUAGUUGAAUUUAAGGGAAUCAUAGCUCACAAGACCCUACAUGAUCUUGCCCCACCACCUUUUCAGAUUCAUGUUGAAUACUCUCUUGCUCACUCUCUCUCCAGCCAGCAAUCCCUCCGUUUAACCACAGGGUCUGCAGACCUGGCUCCCUGCGCACUGGCACCUCGGGCUAGACAAGGCCAGUGAGUGCAUGUGCAUUGCUCUCUCUCACCAAGAUGAAUGGAUAAAGCAGCUAUUGAGGGCACAAGCAGGAGAAAACUGGGUGGUGAGUCUCCCAGAGCUCCUAGGCCAGCAAAGAAGGGCAGGUGACCCUGACACUGACAUUGUAGUUCAGGGAAGGAUGUCUCCAUGGAGCUGGAGGCACUGGGGAAGGUGGCAGACAUGGUUGGUUCCCUAGAUCCACUCUCUUCUUUUCCCUUCCUAUCAGAACUGCAAUGUGUUCAAUUUAAACUACUGAUUUCCCAGACUCCUUUGCAAUGAGGGGUGUCCAUAUGACCCAACUCUGGCCAAGAGGAUGGGAACAGAAUUGUCCUGAGUGAGAAUUCUAAGAAAGACACAGUAGUAUGUACCUUUUACCCUUGACUUUUUUUCUCCCUGCUCCUCCCCCUCUUCCUCCUCCUCCUCUUAUUUCUCGGAAACAUGAAUGUGAUGCCUGGAGGGGAAGCAGCCAUCUUGCAACCAGGAAGAAAGAAGUCUCCUACUAAGGAGGCCGGAUGGGCGGCCAUCAACAUCUGAAUGACUUCAUUGUGGAGUUCUGGCUUCAUGAGAAAAUUCAGCUCCUAUUACAUACAUGUGCAGUAGCUCAUUAUCUGUUCCGUGCAGUUAGCACAGCCCUACCUGAUACGAGUGAGGCCCCAGCUGGGAGGACAGCGUUUCAUCCUGAGAAAGCCCCUCCCCCGGAAGACCUCUCUGCCAGGCACAGCCCCACGGGCACAGGCUGGCACAGCCAGCAUGUCGAGGACACACUCCACCAGCUCUCCUCUUGGAGUGGGUCCUGCAUGGCCCCUUCCCUUCGCUACCUUGAUGCCAAGGCCUUAAUUGGGGGGAAGGGAAGAAAGCAGAGGCCACCAUAGUGGGAAAGUCGGAAAUAAAUUCUCCCCUGCCUUCCCCCCAGGAAAAAAACAAGCCGUGACAAAGCCUGGACAAGGUUUGUUUUGAAGUGAAAGAUCCACGCCAGUUCCAUUAGUUUGGAAAACCAGUUGCUGCCUGAAUAACUGAAACCUGUCCUAUAAGCGUGAACUGUCACCUCAAGGUGCUGGCCUCUAAUUGUGAGCACACGUCGGCCAGAGCUGCUGGUUCUCCAGACUGGAGCACGUGACGCCUUCUCCCCCAGCCCUUCCACUCUGACCAUAUGCCACCAUUGCCGCUCCCAGUGAUGCCCCUGGGGGGAAGCCAAGUGAUGCUGCCCUUCGGAGAUAAUGGCGUUGGAAAUGCAAUGCUAAUGGCUCCCCAGACAAGACCAGAAUAGCCUCGUGUUCUGCCUUCCUGGCGCACAGAGGCCGCUGCCUGUGAGCAUCGCAGGCGCCUCUCGCCCGCCCUCCCCGAGUGCCCGGAGCCAGCUUCAUGGUGAGAGCCACCUGUUCAUCAUCAUAGCGUUUUUGUCCAACCCGCUGGAUGGGCUCAGAACAGAAGCACAGCUGAGUGUGGGAGCCGGGAGAACCUGCAGCCCAGCAGGCACCUCCAUUCAGACUAUAAACUCUCUUUGCAAGUUGAUCAUCACCCACGAACUGGGCCAUGUUUGCCAUGCAGUUAAGAUGGAUUUGAAUCCACUUAUUUUCUUUUGCACCCCAGCUCCCACCCCCACCCAAAGCCUGAGCUGGUGUUUAAGAAAACAAUAAAAAUGACGUGGGCUGGUGGACUGUUGACCUUCUUUAUAUGGAAGUCACGUGAAGGCUGCAGACCAACUGCCAGGGGCAAGAGGAACGUCCCUGCACUUCUCCCAGGAGGCCUGGCGUCCCGGGGCUGUGCCUGGCGUCCCGGGGCUGCGCCUGGCAUCCCGGGGCUGCGCCUGGCCUGCCUUGGGAAGGGGACUCAAUUCUGAUGACAGUGGGCAUUCAAGAAGGAUGCUGGGCAGGACUUGUAUCCAAGCUGAGGUGUGGCUGGUGGAUUCGAUGGGUAUCAAGCUCGCUCUUCUGGCCAUCCGCUGGAACAGCCCUGGACGCACCCUCUCCCUGGCACAUUGUUAGAACCCACCACUGUCCUCCCACGUUGAACUCACAACUUCCUGCUUUAGCCCUGGGAGGAGGGCUGCACUGUUUAGCCUGGGAAUCAACCACAUUGCCUACUCUCAGAUGGAGAUCUGCAAUUCGUGCCUUAGAUUUUGUAAUGCCACCUCUGGGCAGCCAGCUGCUCAGCAAGGCAGAGCGCCUGCCGGAGAGAGACCGGGUGGAGGCGACCCUGACGCCUUGGCUGUCCCGUCCCAGCUGGGGCUGAAGGCAGCCCCUGGAGCGACCGACCACAGACCUCUCAGCCGCCUGCCCGGCUCCUACUCCUCGGACCAGGAGAGCAUCGCGAGGUGGUGCUUUAAACACCAACCGGGGAGCAUUUUGUUUGCAGCAACAGAUGGCUCCCAGGAGACGAUGGGGCCUCCCAUGAGCCAGAUGCUCCAGAGGUGGGGCCUGCGCAUCAGCAUUCUAACAGGCCCCGCUGCCCCUGAGAGGGGACCGAUUGGCUCAGUCCCGUGACCCAUUCUCGGCCCCGGGCGGACCAGAGCGAGGCCUCCCGAGAAUGGGUCCGGCCGCUUUCCCUUCCCACUCACCUCUCAGGGUGUCUGUCUCCUACUGAGGCGUGAGAAUCACGUGCUGCCUGAACUCAUGGAAAACAUUUUAAAAUAUUAACUAAGCUGCGGCCCUGUGAGUGCUGAUUAUUCAUGUCCUGAUGAAGGGAAACAGGUGAAAAGCGUCCAAGGCAAGAGGUGGGACUGAUCAGUGACAUCUUCCGGGGGGAGCUGGCCUGGAGCAGGAGGCUGGGCCUGGGGGAGGCCCCGGGCUGCAAGGAGGUGGGCUGCGGGAAGGCUGGGCUGGCUGGCAGGUUCAGAAAGUCCUGCUGGGGAGGAACAGGGUUUUGAAGUUUCCAUUCAGGCCCCAUUUUUCUUCUCUGGUUCUCCCACCAGCAGAGGGAGAGAGGACUGGCUGGUGCCCAGGUGCCAGGGCCUGUGACAGACUCCCUCCGGCCCCGCUGCCGGCCCCGCUGUGCUGAUGAGAAAGCUGACCGGGGCCUGGAGAGGGCAGCCCCGGAGCCAAACCAGCAAGACCCAGGGCUUCCAAACCUCACAGCCCAGCCAGCCCCGCCCCUGUCAUUAGAGCAGGCCUCAGAGACCCCACCCAGCUGUAGCUCCCGUUCUCUCCUAAGGACCCCUGUGCGGGGGGCGCACACUUUGUGCUCCCAGCUGCCCUUGCUGAGGACCGAACAAGAGAGAAGGGGUGUGGCUUGUAGCAGGAGAGGUCAGCCAGGCAGAGGGAAGACCUCCCGGGUCCCAUGGGCAAAAUGAGCGGCGCUGGCCAAUUUAUUCCUCUGGCAAACAUUUCUUGCUCAGCGAGAGGCGACAAUGCUGCCUGCAGCGUCCAGGACAAAGACAGCUUCUCGGAGAGGCAGGAGGGGGCGUGACGGUGGAGCCCGUGCAGCUGGUCCUGAGCAGACGCCCGCUUCCUGGCCUGUGAGGAGGUAUUGAUGACACUGUCUGUCCCAGGGCGGGCGUGAGGGCCAGUUGAGAUAACACAUGGAAAAUACCCACCACUGUGCCUGGCAGUGCCAAUUGCUCAAUACAUAUUUGCUUCUU